ACAGCCAUGUGAAAGGCAGUUAGAAAGAUGAUGUAGUCAAACUUUUUUGGCGGCCAUGCCAGCUGACAUGAUAGGGGAACGUGGGAAGUUUGGCUUGGAUAUUAGGAAAAAAGAAGCUGGUGGGGAGGUGUCUCCAGCCAUGGAGGCUUCAUGCAUCGCCAAGACUGGACCAGGCUGCCAAGACCUCAUAGGCAGCAGUUCUGUUGCAAGAGGGAGGUUGGAUCAGAGGUCUCCUUUUACCAACGUGCUGCUGUGGGUCUGAGCCCCAGUUGCUUGCUGUAAGAGCAGUUCUUCUUCCUUGCUGGCUCGCUUUAUAGAAUCAUAGAAUCAUAGAAUCGUAAGGGUUGGAAAGGACCUUAAGAUCAUCUAGUUCCAACCCCCCUGCCAUGGGCAGGGACACCUUGCCCUAAACCAUGUGGCUCAAGGCUCUGUCCAACCUGGCCUUGAACACCGCCAGGGAUGGAGCAUCCACAACCUCCCUGGGCAACCCCUUCCAGUGCUUCACCACCCUCACUGCUUUCUGCUGCUUUGGUUUGCAAGUGUGUGCAGCAGCCUCUGUGUAACCCGCAGCCCAGGAAAAAACAGCCAUGACUCCGAAAACAUGUGGUUGGGACCCACAUGUUGGACUCUACCAGCCUUGUGGGUUGGACACAGUGCAGAGUGCAAGCACAGCAGGGGAAAAGGGUGGUUAAGGCAGGAGGCUGUCCUUCCAUUAAGUUAAUUUUUUGACCAUACCUGCACUUCUGGGCUUACGUCCAAGGCCUGAAGUACUUGCGCGAUUUCCUCCUGCCUCCAUCAGUUAAGUUGUGUUCUCUAUUCCCUCCUGAGCUAGUUAUUAAUUAUGGAGACUGCAGAGAUGAAGUCCAGGCUCUACUAAUGGUUGACUUCCCCGUGUUUUAGAAGAAGCAUUUCAGGGGUCUGCUAAUGGUAUUUCUUCACUUUGCUUUUCAGGCUCCACCAUCAUCUUGGUUUCUAGCCUGAGCGUGGCAGCGAGGCAGACCAUGGUGUUUAAAUGUUGGCUGAAGCUCAGCUCUUCAGGCAGCCUGCAGUUGCAGGGCACACAUCUGUGGCAUGCUGCUGAUCUGCCUGGGUUGAAAUACCUCCAUGAUGCAGUUAUCCCCGUCCUUCCCCGGGCAGUGGGGUUGGCUGCUGCUCUAGCUGCGUGCUUUUCCGUGCACAUGGAGCCUUUUUGUGCUAGCAGGGAGGACAGAGUAGCUUUGCCUGGCAGCGUUUGGGCAGCGCAGUGACCCUAGCUGGCUGAUGCCUCUCCAUUUCCCCAAGCUUUGAGAACUGGGGAUAAAAUCCAAGCCUGAUGAUCCUUCCAGCCUGGAUUUUGGAGCUUUCCUCGAGAUCCACAUGAGACAAGCAGGAUGACAGUAUCAGCCUUGAAAAAAAUCACCGUGUCACCUUCACAUACCCAGAGGAAGGAGGCUGCUGUUCCCCAAAGUCCUGAAGGGUGUGUGCUGGCAUCCUUCUCCCAGUUCCCAACCAGAUCCACAGCACAUGACAGACGCUCUGCACGCAACUUAUAAUAAUCACUGGUUUCAUUUAUUAAAAAAUUACAAUAGAAAAGUACCUUUAAACACAUUCCCAAAAGCGGAGUAGACAAUGUGGAUGCUUCUCUCCUCUCCACAAGACAAAGUACAGGAAAUAGUUUGCUAAAAGAGUCAGUCCAUCGCUUGGAAAUGCUGAUAUCAUUCCUUUUAGAGCCACUCAGGGGUUUGUCUUGGAAUUGAUUUCUUCUUGCAUCGCCUGUAUCAAUCCCAUUUCUUACAGAAGACCCCAACAGGACAGUUUCCCACCUCACCACUUCACCCAACACCCUGCGCCGGCUCCAGCAGCCAAAAUCUCAGCCUACCCACAGAAUAAAAGGAGGGAGGAAGAAAAAGGUUAUGAUGCAUUUAACAAGGCCACGGGCACCCCAUGUCUUCAGUGCAGCUGGGAAACGGGCUACGGCGAAGCUCAGUGUGCCCUGCAGCGGGGACGGGGUUGGGGGGAGAGGCAAUGGAAGGAGAAGUUUUGCACCUCCUUUUGCAAGAAACCGAAAUCUCUUUGAGGUUUUGGUUUGCUUUGUUCUUCCCGAAUUCCUCCUGGAGCAAGGAGAGGGAGAGACUGAUAUGUCAAGCGGUCUCUUGCCCCUCAGCUCGCUCAGGACUCAUGCCCAACCUCGAGUAAGCUGGCAAACCAAUGGCUUGUCGUUUGUUUUUUCUCAUACAGCAGUUUACAUUGCCUGUAACUUCAAGCAGUCACAGCAGGAGGAGGAGGAGGCAAAUUGUCACCUUGCUACAUAUGUGGGCUGUCUCUGCCCAUCCCUGAUCUGAGCCCGUUGUACCGUGCCAAAGCUUUGCACAGCAAGCUAUUAACAUAGCCCUAAGGUAAAAAACAAAUCACCAUAAGAAAGUUUCUGAUUGUCCUGCCUGGUUGUCAUUUGGUACAACUGGGAAGAAAACAGUAAUACUGUCAGUGUCCGCAGAUGUCUUGCCCACGCAGCCAGAGCACAAUUCCUAUGCCAGAGGGAGCACGAUUCCUUCACACCCAAAUUGUGCAUCUUGACAUCUGCACACACGUGAGCAUCAUGCCUUUGACAUGCAGUUGACGGGGCAAGGGGAUACAGACUCCUAAUGACACACAUUCAAAAGUCAAGCACAAAACUUGUGGUCUGACCCAGUCAGUCUAAGAUUGUUCUGUUUGGUACAAAAAUACUUGCUCUUGUUUUGCCCUUUUGUUGGUUUUUUUGUUGGGUUUUUUUUUUCUUAGUCUGCUUUCCUAUGGUUCUGUUUGAAGA